GACAGAGGGUGCAAACGUUGUUCGGAAUUACUGGGCGUAAAGCGUGUGUAGGUGGUUGUCCAAGUUGGAUGUGAAAGCCUUGAGCUCAACUCAAGAAAUGCAUUCAGGACUGGGCGACUAGAGGACCGGAGAGGAUAGUGGAAUUCCCAGUGUAGUGGUGAAAUACGUAGAGAUUGGGAAGAACACCAGUGGCGAAGGCGGCUAUCUGGACGGUUUCUGACACUAAGACACGAAAGCGUGGGGAGCAAACAGG
rnacentral:rRNA from 1 species